GAGAGAGAGAGAGAGAGAGAGAGAGAGAGAGAGAAAGAGAGAGAGAGAGACGGGCGGUCUAUAUGAGGACACGGAUGGAUCACUAAAACAAGAGUCCUGUGCUACAGAGAUAACGGGACAGAUCCGCUCUGCUCAUCAGGGAUGGACAGAUAAAGGAACCCCAAACAAAGCAUGAUGGACUGUCCCUGACGGUAACCAUGGCAAACACUUCACGUCCACAUGACCUUUUCAUCUGAGAAUCACUGUACUGAUGACAGAGCGAGGGUCUUCUAGUUGACAGCGCAUGGUGACUACAUCAGUGCGGUAUAUAGCCUACAUCAAUUAUUACCCACAAAACCACUUACCGUGCGACAGUCACAUUUGUCCUGCUCACUAGGGCUUUAAAGAAGGAUUUGUUGACAUGUAUUGUAAACAGUGCUUCAUAAAUAACUCUCUCCACAGGCCUAGUGAACUAUCUACAUGUAGUUAAAAUA